GACGAACCGUGCGAACGUUAUUCGGAAUAACUGGGCUUAAAGGGCGUGUAGGUGGUUUCGUAAGUCUGGCGUGAAAUUUUUCGGCUUAACCGGGAAAGGUCGUCGGAUACUGCGGAACUAGAGGACGGUAGAGGCGUGUGGAAUUCCGGGUGUAGUGGUGAAAUGCGUAGAGAUCCGGAGGAACACCAGUGGCGAAGGCGACACGCUGGGCCGUACCUGACACUGAUGCGCGACAGCAUGGGGAGCAAACAGG
rnacentral:rRNA from 1 species